rnacentral:lncRNA from 1 species
AUGAGUUGUCCACUGCCACAGCUGUCCUCCACCCUUGAAGCCCAAAGGAGACAGAACUCCACCCAGCCACAGAGGGCAGGAGAGAGCAAACAGAGGAGAGGGAGGCAGACCGGCAGGAAGGCGGAGGCUGAUUCUAAGAAAGGAAAAGAGAGAGAAGAAGAUGGACGAGGAGCGUGUGUGAACGGAGGAGGUGGUGGUGGAGCAACAACAGAGAAAAGAGAAGAGAAGAAAUCUCAAAGGGGAAGCAGGUUACCCACCUUAAAGUACUACCUUAAACACAAUCCCUAACCCCAACCUGGUGUCAUAGCCUCUUUUAUUAAUGUUUUUAAAGAGGUGUCUUGGUUUAAAUUUCUCAAAAGAUGACUGUGAGGAAACAAUUCAGUUCCCAUGUAGGUUAUGUACCCAUGUGCCACUGUCGGUAUUGUAAUUCAGUGUUAAUUGAUGGCAAAUACAUAUAAAAUGUUACAUUUAUUAUGAAGUCUGCCGUUAUUAUUUCCUUCCAUGUUUCUUUGUUUCAACAACAAGAGUAUCUCUGAGGAGAAACCUUUAAAAGGGAGGAAUAUUACAGGCUUUGAACGCAGUGAGGUCGUCUCCUAUUGUGCCAGAAGCCUGCUGAGUCUGACAUUUCUUGUGUCACUGCAAUCUUUUUCCAAACACCUCCUACGACUUGUAUUACGUAAGCAACACCACAUCCACCACUCUCUCCGACUGUAGUUCAUCCACAGAGCAACUACUCACCCCCGUCCCACCCACUUACCGCCUUUACAAAUGUAGGUGUAAGAAAACUGUAUCCAUAUGAGUUGCAGUAGUGAAUCGGAAAGAAUUGCCAGAAGCAGUUUCAGUUGUGUUCGAGUAGAAGUGUGGAGCAUGGGUUCAGUUCUUGUC